rnacentral:tRNA from 1 species
GGAAGGGUGUCAGAGCGGUUGAAUGAUCUGGUCUUGAAAACCAGCGUACUCUUACGGGUACCGUGGGUUCGAAUCCCACCCCUUCCGCCA